AGAGUUUGAUCAUGGCUCAGGAUGAACGCUAGCGGGAGGCCUAAUACAUGCAAGUCGAGCGGUAGAGUGACUUCGGUUGCUUGAGAGCGGCGCACGGGUGAGUAACGCGUACAUGACCUACCUUCAAGACCGGGAUAGCCCUGGGAAACUGGGAUUAAUACCGGAUGUGAUAAUAGAUAUAGAGAUUUAUUAUUAAAGUUACGGCGCUUGGAGAUGGGUGUGCGUCUGAUUAGCUAGUUGGUGAGGUAACGGCUCACCAAGGCGACGAUCAGUAGGGGGCGUGAGAGCGUGACCCCCCACACGGGUACUGAGACACGGACCCGACUCCUACGGGAGGCAGCAGUAAGGAAUAUUGGUCAAUGGGCGCAAGCCUGAACCAGCCAUCCCGCGUGCAGGAUGAAGGUCCUAUGGAUUGUAAACUGCUUUUAUCAGGGAAGAAACGCCUUCAUUUAUGAGGGUCUGACGGUACCUGAGGAAUAAGCACCGGCUAACUCCGUGCCAGCAGCCGCGGUAAUACGGAGGGUGCGAGCGUUAUCCGGAAUCACUGGGUUUAAAGGGUGCGUAGGCGGGGAAUUAAGUCAGUGGUGAAAGCCUGUCGCUUAACGAUAGAAUUGCCAUUGAUACUGAUUUUCUUGAAUUGGGUUGAGGUUAGCGGAAUGUGACAUGUAGCGGUGAAAUGCAUAGAUAUGUCAUGGAACACCAAUUGCGAAGGCAGCUAACUGGGCCUUGAUUGACGCUGAGGCACGAAAGCGUGGGUAGCGAACAGGA
rnacentral:rRNA from 1 species